rnacentral:rRNA from 1 species
AGUGAACGCUGGCGGUAGGCCUAACACAUGCAAGUCGAACGGCAGCACAGUAAGAGCUUGCUCUUACGGGUGGCGAGUGGCGGACGGGUGAGGAAUACAUCGGAAUCUACUUUUUCGUGGGGGAUAACGUAGGGAAACUUACGCUAAUACCGCAUACGACCUACGGGUGAAAGCAGGGGAUCUUCGGACCUUUCGCGAUUGAAUGAGCCGAUGUCGGAUUAGCUAGUUGGCGGGGUAAAGGCCCACCAAGGCGACGAUCCGUAGCUGGUCUGAGAGGAUGAUCAGCCACACUGGAACUGAGACACGGUCCAGACUCCUACGGGAGGCAGCAGUGGGGAAUCUUGGACAAUGGGCGAAAGCCUGAUCCAGCAAUACCGCGUGGGUGAAGAAGGCCUUCGGGUUGUAAAGCCCUUUUGUUGGGAAAGAAAAGCAGCAGGUUAAUACCCCGCUGUUCUGACGGUACCCAAAGAAUAAGCACCGGCUAACUUCGUG